rfam:TPA: Bos taurus chromosome 23, whole genome shotgun sequence.
CCUGGUGGCUCAGAUGGUAAAGAAUCUGCCUGCAAUGCAGGAGACCCAGGUUCAAUCCCUGGGUCAGGA